AUUGAACGCUGGCGGCAGGCUUAACACAUGCAAGUCGAACGAGAUCUUCGGAUCUAGUGGCAGACGGGUGAGGAACACGUGGGAACAUCCCUUUCAGUUCGGAAUAACGUUGGGAAACUAACGCUAAUACCGGAUACGUCCUUCGGGAGAAAGAUUUAUCGCUGAAAGAUUGGCCCGCGUCUGAUUAGCUAGGUGGUGGGUUAAUGGCUCACCAAGGCUACGAUCAGUAGCUGAUCUGAGAGGAUGAUCAGCCACAUUGGGACUGAGACACGGCCCAAACUCCUACGGGAGGCAGCAGUGGGGAAUAUUGGACAAUGGGCGCAAGCCUGAUCCAGCCAUGCCGCGUGAGUGAUGACGGCCUUCGGGUUGUAAACUGCUUUUAUGAGUGAAGAUAAUGACAGUAACUCAAGAAUAAGGGACGGCUAACUACGUGCCAGCAGCCGCAGUAAUAC
rnacentral:rRNA from 1 species